UUGGAAGGGGUUCAGGGAUUCAGGGCUGAGUGGUCUGCCCGCAGCUGCACAUCGCUGCUGCUAAUGGGUUCAGUGAGGUGGCUACCCUGCUACUGGAGCAAGGAGCUAGCCUGAGCGCUAAGGACCAUGAUGGCUGGGAGCCUCUGCAUGCUGCAGCUUACUGGGGCCAGGUGAGUACACAGGAGCAGGGAGAGGGUAGGUUCCUGGCUCUAGCUAGAGCCCUCAGCCAAGCAGCUGCUGCUGGCUGCCUGCAGGUACACCUGGUAGAAUUGCUUGUGGCACAUGGGGCUGAUCUGAAUGGAAAAUCUCUGAUGGACGAGACACCCCUUGGUGAGUGUGGGGUUGCCUACAUCUGAGGGAAGGGAGUGGCCAUGAACAUGCCUGUGACACCUCUGUCCAUCUCUUCUCAGAUGUGUGUGGUGAUGAGGAGGUACGAGCCAAACUGCUGGAGCUCAAGCACAAACAGGAUGCACUCCUGCGUGCCCAGGGCCGCCAGCGCUCCCUGCUGCGCCGCCGCACCUCUAGUGCAGGCAGCCGCGGGUAAGCCUCUGCUGUGGUCACCAGUCACCUGCCGAGACCUUGGCUUCCCCAACCCCGCCCCAUGGACAUCAGCUGGCAGUGGAGCCCCACUGGCAUUAGUGGGCAGUGGUUGUGAGAUGGAUGAUGGUGUCUCAACAUCCUCCCGCACAGGAAGGUGGUGAGGCGAGUGAGCCUGACACAUCGCACCAACCUGUAUCGC
rnacentral:lncRNA from 1 species